AAAUAGUUGAGACAGUUUCAAGCUGUGACAAUCUUUGGAGAAUGGAUUAUAUUUUGAAAGGAAUUUUCGUUUUAUUUUCGUAUGCAUCUUUAAGUUCUGUGCCUGUGGUAACAUCUACAAACUCUGUGACUGAUUCCUUGUACUCACAUUUGUUCACAAACUACAAAGAAAAGCUAAUACCAGUGUGUACCCCGGGGGGUAAAGUGGACGUCUUCUUCGGGACCGCCCUCCGACAAAUGAUGAACCUGAACGAGAAGGAUCAAACAUUGACGAUCAACAUUUGGCUGAGGCUGAAAUGGUCUGAUUGCCGCUUGAGUUGGAACACCUCUCAGUACAACAACACACACUUGGUGGUUCCGUACGACACUGUGUGGACGCCCGAUAUCACGCUCUAUGACAGUUCUGCGGAGGAGGAGAUGAUGCCGGGUAAGACGGACUACCGGGCCACCAUUUACCCUAGCGGGACUGUGUACUACAACUUCCCCACGGUCCUUCAGAGCGCAUGCCUCGUCAAUGUCCUUUAUUUCCCUAUGGACACCCAGACCUGUACCCUCAAAUUUGGGUCAUGGUCCCACAGCGGGGCCGAGCUUGACCUCUACCCAAGCACUGACCAGGGUAGGCCAAUAAGCAAGUAGCUUACAACUGAUUUUGGAAUUUAUCGGAGCUUACGGUUUAAAGCAUUAUUUGUAUACACUUAUAAUCCAGCGUUUUACAUUUCUGACACUUAGAGGUUUGUUUGAUGUAAUGAUAUGCUGUUACUGUUGGGUAGGUAGACAGCCGUCCAUUGUUCUCUGUGUCUCUAAUAGAUGUCACUCAACACUUAACUCUAUUGUUGAACAUUUCUCAGAACUUCCACUCCAUGUUGCUUCGUUUAUGUAGAAGUAUAUUGUAGAUUGUCUGUACGUGUAUUAGUAUAUAUUCGGAGGUUAUGCGCGUGCUCACCGCACAAAAUAUAUGUACUAGUCAUUAUUCUUCCAUGUAAUGGGGAUUUCUUUCAUGAAUUACUUUUGUUUGCAAUACUUGGCAUACUAUCCAUAAAAUGGGAAAUGGAUGAUGAUCUGAUGUGAACAUAUUACUAGUAAAAAUCUUUAUAUCCUUUUAUACAAUUCUCACUACUGUUUUUCAUUCAACUAAUGUUGUGACAGAAUAAAAAUCUUUAGUUAGAGGUCUAUCCUUUUCUAUACAUUUCAUUUUUUUUUCAAGUGCAAAUAUUGGCCAUUACUGUAUGGUUUACUAUGGACACAUAUAUAUGCUGCAUGCGCAUGUGCACCUUUUAAAAAAAACCGACGCAGUUCAUAUAUACAUGUGUACAAACAAUGUAUAAACAAUCAUGAUUUGCAUCAUGUACUGGAUAUAGCUGAAUUAAUGUAUUAAACAUGCUUUGUAAAUACAAUAAUGUUACCUAACGAUGAUUAGAGACGGAGAACACUGAAUGGAUAAUCAUUUGUCAAUCCAAAGCAGCGAAAGGCUUUCUCCCUAUAUAUGCGCUUAAAAACAAAACCAAGCAUGGUCUGAUACUCGGAUGUAUUUUUGCAUCAAAGUAUGUGAAAUUGCACGCUACCCUUUGGUUUUCAUUUAUCUGGUUAAGUAGUUGUUUAGAAUACACGUAGAAUUUUUGUACUUAUGGAAAUGCUUUUAGAUUUCACCUGCCUUUUUCUUUCGUAACCAAUAUCAAUAUUUUUUAUGACUAGCAAGUCACGGAUAUCUAUGAUAUGUAAACUGAAAAAAACGUUAUGGUUAUAAUUGCUAAUUGUUUUAAUUUGUUUUUCUCCAGUUUUGUUUUUUUUAAAACGAUGAUUUUUUUACGUACAGCUUUUUGUUCGCUGUUUUAAUGAUUUUCUUUGAAUCAACUUCAGCUGAUUUAACAAACCUGGUCUUUCACAAUGAAUGGGACGUGGUCUCGAUGAAAGCGAAGAGGAACGUCCUGUAUUAUCAGUGCUGUCCGGAUCCGUAUCCAGAUAUUACAUUCUCCCUCGAAAUCAAACGGAAGCCUUUGUUCUACAUCAUGAGCAUCCUGUUUCCCUGUAUCCUGACGGCGUCUGUGGCGGCCCUUGGUUUCGUGCUUCCCCCAGAGUCUGGCGAAAAGGUUUCCCUUGAGGUCACGGUGUUGCUUUCUCUUGCUGUGUUCUUGUUAAUGGUCACCGAACAACUUCCUGCUUCGUCUGUCAAUUUCCCUUACGUUGGAAUGUACUUCGCCUCGUCUAUGAUCUUGGUGUCUUUUUCGUGUGCAAUGACAGUAUUAGUUCUGAACAUUCACUUCCGAGGUGCUACGGGCAACAAAUUGCCAAACUGGAUGCGAAAACUUUUCCUGAAAAGAUUAGCUUGGAUUUUGUUUGUCAAAACUGGAAAGGCAACGUCGAAUAAAGUUCAUUCAGAAAAGAAUGAUACCAAAAAACAGUUUCAGGAAGAGCCUAAUCAAAAUAACUUCAUUAAUAAAACUUUCAAGAUGGAUAGUGAAGACGCGACGCCGAAAAACCGAACCAGCAAUGGAAGCAUAGUUAGUCCGCCUCGUCUUCCAAGCCUCAUUACGAAUACGUCAUCACGUGAUAUCUUGUUACGGUCGAGUGACCCAAUGCUUACUUUAAUGUCUGAACAAUGUGACACAUUGAAAAAGAUCGAAGGUCACAUGCAACAGGAUGAGUCAGAGGAGCAGACGAACAAUGAGUGGUAUUUGUUAGCCAAAGUACUCGACAGAUUGUGUUUAUUUAUUUAUAUUUUCAUGACGUUUUUAACUUCUGUCAUUUUCUUAGCAAAAAUGGCCGGGUCAUGAAACUUCAUUUUUUUCUUUAUUCUGUUCUACAAGCGCAACAAAGUGAUUUUUUUUUAUUGUGUUGGAUGCUUCAUCUACAUUUUUGUUAGAUUCAUAUGGAUUUUUGUCCUUUUUUGUUGUAAAUUGUCUUUCAUGUUUUAUUAGUUCUGUUAAUCAUUUCACAUAUCUGUGAACGAUAACAUUUUAGGAAAUAUUUUCAUUCGUUUGAAUUACUCGCGUGGUGCUAUACUGUGUUACUUAUUAUUCAUACUUAUAAAUCAUUUAUCGCUGAUUUUUAUCGACUCACUGAUUCAAUAAAAUAGGUUAAUAUUUUUAUCACGUUUCAUAUAAAAUACAACUUAUAACUUGUUUUCUUUGUAAAUUUAUUAGAAGAUUAGUUUCAAAUUACACGACAAUCAAAUUGAGUUUAUGUACAGAUGAUAAUAGCGAGACAUAAUUGUGAUUCUGUUGAAAACAUUGAAAAAUGUGAAAAAGGUCAACACAGAAAAUACACAUGUACACAAG
rnacentral:misc_RNA from 1 species